UUCAUACUGCCACCCAGCUUUGUGUCAUCUGCAAAUUUGCUUGUGUUACUUUAAAUACCAUAAUCUAAAUCAUUAAUAUAUAUUGUAAAUAGUAGCAGCCCCAGCACCGAGUCUUGCUGCACUCCGCUCACAACUGCCUGCCAUUCUGACCGAGACCUGUUUAUUCCUACACUUUGUUUCCUGUCUGCCAACCAAUUCUCUAUCUAUGUCAAUACCCUACCCCCAAUACCAUGUGCUCUAACUUUGCCCACUAAUCUCUUGUGUGGGACCAUAUCAAAGGCUUUCUGAAAGGCCAGAUACACUAUAUCCACAGGUUCUCCUUCAUCCAUUUUAGUUGUCACAUCCUCAAAUAAUUCUAGAAGAUUUGUCAAGCAGGAUUUCCCCUUCAUAAAUCCAUGCUGACUUGGACCUUUUACUGCUAUCCAAUUGCGCCGUUAUCACUUAUUUCAUAAUUGACUCCAGCAUCUUGCCCACUACCGAUGUGAGGCUAACUGGUCUAUAAUUCCGUUUUCUCUCUCGCUCAUUUCAUGAAAAGUGGGACGACAUUAGCUAUCCAUCAAUUAGUUACCCUCAGGAACUGAUCCUGAAUCUAUAGAACAUUGGAAAAUGAUCACGAAUGCGUCCACGAUUUCUCGAGCCACCUCCUUGAGUACCCUGGGAUGCAGACUAUCAGGCCCUGGGGAUUUAUCAGCCUUCAGUCCCAUCAGUCUACACAAUAUUAUUCCUCACCUAAUGCAAAUUUCUUUCAGUUCCUCCCUAAAUCCUUUGACCUCUAGUACAUCUGGGAGAUUGUUUGUGAAGACAGAUCCUUAGUGAAGACAGAACUAAAGUACCUGUUCAACUCUUUUGACAUUUCCUUGUCCCCAAUAAUAAUUUCACCUGUUUCUGCCGUCAAGGGACCCAUAUUUGUCUUUACUUAUCUUUAUCUCUUAACAUAGCUAAAGAAGCUUUUACUAUCCUUCUUUAUAUUCUUGGCCAGCUUACCCUCGUACUUCAUCUUUUCACCUGGUAUUGCCCUUUUUGUUACCUUCUGUUGUCCUUUGAAAGUUUGCCAAUCCUCUGCUUCCCGGUACUCUAUGCUGUGUUAUACACCUUUUAUUAUUAUUUUUUUCCAUCCCUAACUUCUCUUGUCAGCCACAGUUGCCUCUUACUCCCCUUAGAAUCUGUCUUCUUCUUUGGAAUGAAAUGAAGCUGCAUCUUCUGGGUUAUGCCCAGAAAUUCCUGCCAUUGCUGUUCCACCAUCAUUCCUGCUAGGAUCCUUUUCCAGUCAACCAAGGCUCCAGAACAAGCUGCUCUAAGAAUCCAUCUGGGAGGCCCUCUACAAACUCCCUUUCUUGAGGUCCAGAACCAACCUGAUUUUCCCGGUCUACCUGCAUAUUGAAAUCUCCCAUAACCACAGCGGCAUUACCUUUGUUACAUGCCAAUUUUACCCCCUGCUACUUGCACCCUAUAUCCAGGCGACUAUUUGAGGGUCUGUAGAUAACUCUCAUUAGUGUCUUCUUACCUUUACAAUUCCUCAAUUCUAUCCACAGUGACUGUACAUCAUCAGUACCUAUGUCACCCCUCGCAAGGGACUAAGUUUCACCCCUCACCAACAGAGCUAUCCCACCUCCUCUGCCCACCUGCCUGUUCUUUCUAUAGGAUGUAUAACCCUGAAUAUUAAUUUCCCAGCCCCGAUCCUCCUUCAGCCAUGUCUCUGUAAUCCCCACAAUGUCAUAUCUACCAAUCUCUAACUGAGCCUCAAGCUCAUCCACUUUACUUUUAAUACUUCACGCAUUCAUAUAUAAUACUUUUAAUCCAUUACUGCCUCACCUUUCACACCGAUUCCUAUUUCACUUGACCAUACUCUCUUUUCCCUUCAUGAGCUUUCCGCCCCGUUAAUUCUGGGGUCUUUUUUAACUUUCCCUAUACUCUAUUUCCCUUUAACUCCAUCCUUGCAUUUCAAAUUUGUCUCCGCCCCCCUCCCACACUAUUUAGUUUAAACCCACCCGUGUAGCAGUGGCAAACCUGCCUGCUGGCAUAGAUUUAGAAUGAAAGAUAGAGGCUUAGAGAGAGCUCAAGAAGGAAUUAGUUACAGAGGAGGAUAGUUUAAAUCUAAACCCAGCGCCUGAGUGCGUGUUGAGACAGGAACAAUGUUUAAGAUGUAUCUAGUCGAGCAGUGCAUCACCAAGCCACAGAAGACUCGUCGGACGGCCGAACCAACCCAGAACUCGUUAGACGUGGAACCGCCGGAGGCUCCGUCACUGGACAGUCCAUCAGACGGCAGAAGAGCCGAAACCGGGCGCAUUCAGCGGGCGGCUGGACUCGCUUGGAGGCUCCUUGGACGCAGAACCGCCCGAUAGCUCAUCGGAUGUGGAAUACUGGGAUGGAGUUGCUGGAGACAUUGGGCGUGGAGACCAAGGGCCGGUAGGAAGGUGAACCGGGUUAAUGCCUCCAGUGCCUCGAAGCUUUAGCUGCACUUUUACUGUUGAGUCGAUUGAGAAGUUGUUGCAGGAAAUGAUUUCCUCACUCAGUCUUUUCCUGAUGCUGAAUAGAAACUCAGCCUCGAAAGUGAAACUAGCUUUGC